rnacentral:rRNA from 1 species
CGACAGGCCUAACACAUGCAAGUCGAGGGGCGGCACAAGGAGCAAUCUGAGGUGGCGACCGGCGCACGGGUGAGUAACACGUAUGCAACCUGCCUGUAAGCGGGGAAUAACCCGUUGAAAGACGGACUAAUACCGCAUAAUACUAAAUUACUGCAUGGUAAUUUAUUUAAACAUUUAUGGCUUACAGAUGGGCAUGCGCAUGAUUAGCUAGUUGGAGAGGUAACGGCUCCCCAAGGCAACGAUCAUUAGGGGUUCUGAGAGGAAGGUCCCCCCACACUGGUACUGAGACACGGACCAGACUCCUACGGGAGGCAGCAGUGAGGAAUAUUGGUCAAUGGACGAGAGUCUGAACCAGCCAAGUCGCGUGCAGGAAGAAUGUCCCUAUGGAUUGUAAACUGCUUUUGCAGGGGAAUAAAGUGCAUCACGUGUGAUGUUUUGUAUGUACUCUGCGAAUAAGGAUCGGCUAACUCCGUGCCAGCCGCCGC